rnacentral:rRNA from 1 species
UACGGGGGGGGCAAGCGUUGUUCGGAAUUACUGGGCGUAAAGGGUGCGUAGGCGGUCCGCUAAGUUGGAUGUGAAAACUCUGGGCUUAACCCAGAGCCUGCAUUCAAAACUGACGGGCUAGAGUUCUGGAGGGGGUAGCGGAAUUCCUGGUGUAGCGGUGAAAUGCGUAGAUAUCAGGAGGAACACCGGUGGCGAAGGCGGCUACCUGGACAGAAACUGACGCUGGAGGCACGAAAGCUAGGGGAGCAAACAGG